rnacentral:lncRNA from 1 species
AGAGAAAACCAGAAUUAUAUUUAUACUAUGAGAUAUAAAGCUCGAAUAGAUCUGCGUUUUGGUCCAGCAAAGCCUUUACACAUAACUAUUAGACUAAGAAGCUCCCAAGAAAAGAAACGGAUCAAUUAAGUGGCAUUUAGUCAAACCAAAAACUGCAUAGCAUGUUUAGGUAUCUAAAAUUAGUAUACAUGCCUUCCAUUUUUUCUAUUUUGUCCAUGAUUAACAAGACCACCAUAUGUGCGAUGUUCAAUGAGCUAAACAAAAUAUUGUGAACUCAACCUAACAGUUUGAUCAGACCAAACAUUAUGAACCAUAUGUGUGAUGAUGUUCAAUAAGCAAAACAAAUAAAUAUUGUGAACUCAACCCAACAAUUUGAUCAGACCAAACAUUGUGAACCCACCCAGAUAUGUCUUGGUGACGUUCUGGGCAUGUUUGAAACUAUUAACUGAUUUGGGAUGGGUUUUUGCCACGUCACGUAAGUCGCUAGUUUGUAUGGCUCAUAUAGAAAGAGAGAAAAAAAAAAGUGUCAUGACAUACUUAUCCACGUGACUUCAAAUCAAUAAAAAGCGGGUACAAACUACAAAGCCAUGUGAGAACACCUCAUGAAAGGCAUUGGUCCAUGUGGCUCUAUAUAUAGAUAUUACUAUAGAGCAAUGUAGACUCUCUGAGGUUCCAUGAUAGGAACCCAGUCCCAGGAACCCAGUCCCUGUGGAACCUCGCAUUUCCUGGCCACUAGAGGCGGAAAUAGGUCACGUUGAUCGACAGGGACCUAUCCGAGCCUAAUUCAUGCCCAGGCCAUACUUUUUUUAAAUAGACAAGGUAAAAGUUUUUUAAAAACCUAUUUAGCUAAAAUGGUCAUUUUUAUAAACAGCUUAUUUUGCCAGAAUCACAGAUUUCGCAAAAUGGCAUACCCAUUGUGAAUCUGUGAUACCAAACAUGCACUAGUAGUUUAGUACCUUGUUUAGAUUUCAUGUACGGCGGAGUCGGUAUUCUCACGUCCCAAGACAAAAAUAGUCAUGAUAUUGUCAAAUUACCAUUUGUUCGGUGUGGCCGUGGUUUCUCAAAAUACCAAAAACACAUUUGGAAUCACAGUUAGUUUGACAAAAUGACGGUAGCUAACUGUGAUUGGUGCCAAACCCACCAUGAAUCUAAACAUGUACUCUCUCUAGUCCCUUAUAUAAGAAAAAUUUUGUUUUUUAGAUUCAUGGAAUGAUUGAUANNNNNNNNNNNNNNNNNNNNNNNNNNNNNNNNNNNNAUUUAAAUUUUUCUUAUAUUAAGGAUCGGAGCAUUAAAUUAGGUCAUAGGGAUCAUACCACCUAAACACCCUUAAUUCUACCUAAACUUUUUUUUUUUGUUACAAUUCUACCUACACUUACAGAAACUGCAACAGAAGUUUCACCAAAAUACUAAUCAAGAUACAAUAACAAUUCGCACGAACCCAAACAAAAAAUCAACUACCAAAGCAAAAGAAACAAACAAAAUUGUUGAUCACAUGAAUAGUUUGCAACAAAUUACCAGAUCUAACAAAAUCUGAACAGCAAUUAUGUAAAUAAUUGAAACCUAACCUUCAACAGCGGUAUCUCGAGCCUCACAUACAACGCUUCCGCGGCGAGGAAAAACUCUGGAGGAGGAUUUACUCCGCAAACGAGUGGCGGCGAGUGAUCGGANNNGCCUGGCAGUGAUCGGGCGGGAGGAGAGGGAGGAAGAGAUGAUAGAAGGAGGGAGUUUGGAGGAGCGAAUAAGGGAGAAGGAUUCGAGUUGUACGGUGGCCAUGGAUGCAGAGAAUCGCAGUUCAAGAAAGAGUGUGGUGAUCACUGUGAAAGAGACGAUAGAGGAAAUGUUUGGUUUAUGUUUUGUUUUUUAGUAUUGAUUGAUUGAUAUGUUUUUUUAGAUUAAUAACUGUUAUGCACGAGAGCAGCUUUGCUCCUUUUCCCUUAGCUCCUUUUAUUCCUGUUGAUUGCACAUUUGAGUGAC